rnacentral:siRNA from 1 species
UGCACCGUAAGAACAAGCUGGUUG